rnacentral:tRNA from 1 species
ACCGAAAGAGCUCAGUUGGGUGAGCGUUAGACUAUAGAUCGAAAAAUCGCUGGUUCGAUCCCGGGUUCCGGCA